UGCGCAGGCGGUCUUGUCCGUCAGGUGUGAAAGCUCGGGGCUCAACCCCGGAAGUGCACUUGAAACAGCAAGACUUGAAUACGGGAGGGGAAAGCGGAAUUCCUGGUGUAGAGGUGAAAUUCGUAGAUAUCAGGAGGAACACCGAUGGCGAAGGCAGCUUUCUGGACCGAUAUUGACGCUGAGGCGCGAAGGCGUGGGUAGCGAACAGGAUUAGAUACCCUGGUAGUCC
rnacentral:rRNA from 1 species